ACGGGUGCGUAACGCGUGGGAAUCUGCCCUUUGGUUCGGAAUAACAGCUGGAAACGGCUGCUAAUACCGGAUGAUGUCGAUGAGACCAAAGAUUUAUCGCCAGAGGAUGAGCCCGCGUUGGAUUAGGUAGUUGGUGGGGUAAAGGCCUACCAAGCCGACGAUCCAUAGCUGGUCUGAGAGGAUGAUCAGCCACACUGGGACUGAGACACGGCCCAGACUCCUACGGGAGGCAGCAGUGGGGAAUAUUGGACAAUGGGCGAAAGCCUGAUCCAGCAAUGCCGCGUGAGUGAUGAAGGCCCUAGGGUUGUAAAGCUCUUUUACCCGGGAAGAUAAUGACUGUACCGGGAGAAUAAGCCCCGGCUAACUCCGUGCCAGCAGCCGCGGUAAUACGGAGGGGGCUAGCGUUGUUCGGAAUUACUGGGCGUAAAGCGCACGUAGGCGGCUUUGUAAGUCAGAGGUGAAAGCCUGGAGCUCAACUCCAGAACUGCCUUUGAGACUGCAUCGCUUGAAUCCAGGAGAGGUCAGUGGAAUUCCGAGUGUAGAGGUGAAAUUCGUAGA
rnacentral:rRNA from 1 species